UGCUCAUUCUAUUCUCUUGAAGCACAAAAACAUGAAAACUCUUCUAACCUUAAUCUUCACAUUCUCCAUCAUCAUCAUCAUCAUCGUUGCCUUCACACAUGCAACACCAACAUUGAUCAUUCGCACUCAACCUCAAAUGAACCAAUCAUCCAUGCUUAUUCAUACCCAACAACAAGUAAAUCAAUUUUCAAUGUCCCUUUUCCCUGUAAAGUUUAGUCACUGGAUGAAUGAUUUAUUAUUAAUUUCAUAUUUUAAUUAAUGCAUCUUAAAUAAAAGGUUAUAUAUGCAUGUUUCAGAAUGAGACUAAACGGAGUGGUAACUGCGAUUACAAGGUGACCAUAGCAACAAGCUGCAAAUCUCCUUUAUCUACAAAAGAUGAAAUCAGUAUUUUAUUUGGAGAUGCUGAUGGCUCUGAGGUUCCUUUCUAUACCACAAACAAUUAAUCAUAUAUCUAUACAUGUUUAUGUUGCUCCUUAAUUUUUGUUGUGCAAAUAAUAUUACACCCUAAUUAUUAAUAUUUGUUAGUUGCCAACAAAAAAAUUAUAUAUCUAUACAUAUAAUAAUUGCAGGUUUAUGUACCAAGAUUGGACGAUCCUGAUUCUGGGACGACGUUCGAGCAAUGCACCACGAUGGAUUUUGAGAUAUUGGGACCAUGUAUUGGUAAAAUAUGCAAAAUGUAUCUAUUUAGGAACGGCACGGAUGGUUGGAUACCAGAGACUGUCAUAGCAUAUCACCAUGACAACCCUCCAGUCACAUUUAAGUACAACAUUGACAUUCCUAAGGAUUCUGGUUAUGGCUUCAAUAAUUGUGGUUAACAAGUGUGUGUGUGUGUGUGUAUUUCGGCAACAAGAUCAAAUGGUCUAGAAAUAUAGAAGCAUCAUAAUACUUAUAAAAUAAGGUUGAUUUUUUUUUUUAGUUAUCAAGAGUUUAGUGGUGAAACUAAUACACAUGUACUUAGAAAUGAGAAAUUACGGGUUCACGGUCCAACAUAUAUAUCAAACAUCCUAGCAUAUUUUGUAUGUUUAAGAUGAUGAUUGAUGUUGUAAAUGUUGAAUUAUGUGCUAUAUAUUGAUGCUGAUUUAGUAUGAUUUUUCCGUCAAAUAAUAAAGGAGGUUUCUUAACAGAUCCAUCAGAACUUUCAUCACCAGAACCAUACCAUACAUCUAUUUCACAGAAGCAUCUUUACUCUCACAUGAUUAUCUCAACCUCUAACGUUAACUGAACAAAGUGAGGAAUAUAAGAAAUGGGAGUUCAAAUUAUAAUGAAAUUCCUUUAAAUAAAACAAAUAAAAAAAGAAAAGAGUUUAAGUGAUACAAAGAUUAAUUCAAGAAUUUAUUCUGAUUCACUACCAACAUAUGGUAGCCAUGGCCCUUCAACUUGAAUGAUUUUCCACUAAUUCACACAAACAACAACAACCAUAGUACGAUCAAUUUUUUGAGGUGCUCAAGUUUUCAUAUUAUAUUUAAAUUGAUUUAUUUAUUAUUAGGGUAUAUAUAUAGACGGACAUGUUAAAAUUUUCAUUUCUCUACUUUUCUAUUGUGAUUAAUUAUACAUAAAAAGAUAUUUCAAUUUUGACAUAUACUACGAUCAAAUACUUUUUAUAAAUAAAAUUAAAAUAAAUUCCUGUUGUCAGUAUGGGAUAGUUUCCAAUUUAUUCAAUGAGAUAUAGCUUUUUUUAAAAUUAAUAACUUAAAUAAUAUAAUAAAACGGAUACAAUAGCACAUAAUGUAGUUUAAGUUAAGAGUUAAAGGUAUAAAUGAAGAAAAAAUCGAGCUCAAAAUUAUGUAUUUCUUUUAUAGACUAACAAAAAAAUAUGAUUCUCGACAUAAUUAAAUUUUUGAAUUGUAAGUAUAUGAGCUCUAGUUUAUUCAGUUCAGGCGUUUGGAAUGAGUAUAUAACCAAACAAAAAGUAUCAUUAAUGGGUCGUAAUCAACCAAAUUUUGGUUUAGCGGAAAAUAUUAGACUUUCACAAUAUAGCGAAUCAAGAAUUAUGACAAAAAUAUUCACAUAUCGUGGCACCCACGACUCAACUACGAUUACUUCUUGCAAAGGAAAAAUAUAAAAUAUUAUAGAAAAAUAAGAACCGAAUCGACAUUUAAUGAAUUGCAUUUCUCCCGAAACAAUUUGUUCAUUCAGGACUCCAAUGGUUUUUUUUUUCUUGUUUUUUAUUUUUUAUUUUUUAUAGGGAUGAAGCCAUUAAGGUUUCGGAAGAUAUACUAUAUGUAUAUUUUUUUAAUGGGAAAUGUUAACGAGUGUCCUGAGUAUUUUUUAAGACUUUUAAAUAGUAAAUUUUUAUGAGAAUUAUUGUAUUUAAUGCGUUAGAAAUUGAAACAAUUGACUUUUUUAGUGAACAAUUUCUUGAAUUAAAAUGCUUAAAGAGCGCCCAGAAACAUAAAGUCUUAACACAACCUCCAACUCCAAUGGAGAAACUUGCCAAAAUGCCAACAUCUAGUCUUGAAGAGUGCUCGAGUUUCGCCGAGAAAUCCACGGAAACAAACAAUAGUACUCUAUUAACUACGAUUUUUUUUAUUUUAGAUUAAAUUUUAUGCAGAUCCUCGUAAAAUAAUUAUAUUGACAAUACAACUUAAAAAUUGAUUCAUUUCUUUUCAAAAACUAAAAAUGGAUUCACUUAAUGAUAACGUCCCACACAAUUUAAUAGUGGACUGUUAAAAAUACUCUCUUUUCAACACACUCUCUUUCGUUAGAUGAAAUAAAUGUAUGUCCUACCACUUUAAAUGAGAUAAAUUUUCAAAGUGUGAGACUCGUUUUAAUUUAAGUCAAUAAAAAAGUAAACAUUAGAGAUAUUGAAAAGAGAAUGUUGAUAACACUAUUAAAUUUAAUAUGAUAUGCAAAAAAAUUCACUAAAAUAUAAUAGAAUAUUUAAAAAAGUGCAAUGUUAGCAUAUCAUGGUGUCAUCAAAUAUUGGCCCCGGCCUUUAUAAUAAUGCUAUAAUAACUAAUAGAAACUUGGCCCUUAAAAAAACCUAAUAGAAACUUUGAAAUAUCUAAACAAUUUAGGUGUUCCUCUUUUCUCUUCUCUUGGAGCACAAAAAAGGUUACAAGUAAUUAAUAACCGAAAGACUAAACCAUGAAAUCUCUUACCUUAAUCUUCACAUUCUCCAUCAUUGCUACCUUCUCACAUGCAACACCAUCAUUAUUGGUCACUCUCCUUCAUACCCAACAAGUAAAUAAAUUUUAUAUUCUCAUCUUUAUUUUUAUUUUGAAAUAUUAAUCCAAAGAAGGGAAUACCCUUUAAUUCAAAAUUAUUAAAAAUCAUUUGAACAACAAUAUAGCGUACACAUGAAUGUAUACAUUAUUGAAUCUUAAAUAAAAGGCUUUAUGUACGUAUUAUAUAUAUAUAU
rnacentral:lncRNA from 1 species